rnacentral:rRNA from 1 species
UACGGAGGAUCCAAGCGUUGUCCGGAUUUAUUGGUUUAAAGGGUGCGUAGGCGGAUAAUUAAGUCAGUGGUGAAAUCUUGCGGCUCAACCGUAAAAUUGCCAUUGAAACUGAUUAUCUUGAGUACAGUUGAGGUGGGCGGAAUGUAUCAUGUAGCGGUGAAAUGCUUAGAUAUGAUACAGAACACCUAUUGCGAAAGCAGCUCACUAAACUGCAACUGAACGCUGAGGCACGAAAGCGUGGGGAGCGAACAGG